UUAAUAGAAGCCAAAAAGAGGCAUUUCAUUGUUAAUGAACGAACUGAUUUUCCCUAUUAAA
rnacentral:tRNA from 1 species